rnacentral:rRNA from 1 species
CGGCGUGCCUAAUACAUGCAAGUCGAACGCACUCUCGUUUAGAUUGAAGGAGCUUGCUCCUGAUUGAUAAGCAUUUGAGUGAGUGGCGGACGGGUGAGUAACACGUGGGUAACCUGCCCUAAAGUGGGGGAUAACAUUUGGAAACAGAUGCUAAUACCGCAUAAAACCUAGCACCGCAUGGUGCAGGGUUGAAAGAUGGUUUCGGCUAUCACUUUAGGAUGGACCCGCGGUGCAUUAGUUAGUUGGUGAGGUAAAGGCUCACCAAGACCGUGAUGCAUAGCCGACCUGAGAGGGUAAUCGGCCACACUGGGACUGUGACACGGCCCAGACUCCUACGGGAGGCAGCAGUAGGGAAUCUUCCACAAUGGACGAAAGUCUGAUGGAGCAACGCCGCGUGAGUGAAGAAGGUUUUCGGAUCGUAAACUCUGUUGUUGGAGAAGAAUGUAUCUGAUAGUAACUGAUCAGGUAGUGACGGUAUCCAACCAGAAAGCCACGGCUAACUACGUG